rnacentral:rRNA from 1 species
CGCGUGGGAAUCUACCGAGUAGUGGGGGACAACAGUCGGAAACGACUGCUAAUACCGCAUACGUCCUAAGGGAGAAAGUGGGGGAUCUAUUUAUAGACCUCACGCUAUUCGAUGAGCCCGCGUAAGAUUAGCUAGUUGGUGGGGUAAAGGCUCACCAAGGCGACGAUCUUUAGCUGGUCUGAGAGGAUGAUCAGCCACAUUGGGACUGAGACACGGCCCAAACUCCUACGGGAGGCAGCAGUGGGGAAUAUUGCACAAUGGGGGAAACCCUGAUGCAGCCAUGCCGCGUGUGUGAAGAAG